rnacentral:rRNA from 1 species
CGUAACAAGGUCUCCGUUGGUGAACCAGCGGAGGGAUCAUUACUGAGUUUACGCUCUAUAACCCUUUGUGAACAUACCUAUAACUGUUGCUUCGGCGGGUAGGGUCUCCGUGACCCUCCCGGCCUCCCGCCCCCGGGCGGGUCGGCACCCGCCGGAGGAUAACCAAACUCUGAUUUAACGACGUUUCUUCUGAGUGGUACAAGCAAAUAAUCAAAACUUUUAACAACGGAUCUCUUGGUUCUGGCAUCGAUGAAGAACGCAGCGAAAUGCGAUAAGUAAUGUGAAUUGCAGAAUUCAGUGAAUCAUCGAAUCUUUGAACGCACAUUGCGCCCGCCAGCAUUCUGGCGGGCAUGCCUGUUCGAGCGUCAUUUCAACCCUCAAGCUCUGCUUGGUGUUGGGGCCCUACAGCUGAUGUAGGCCCUCAAAGGUAGUGGCGGACCCUCCCGGAGCCUCCUUUGCGUAGUAACUUUACGUCUCGCACUGGGAUCCGGAGGGACUCUUGCCGUAAAACCCCCAAUUUUCCAAAGGUUGACCUCGGAUCAGGUAGGAAUACCCCGCUGAACUUAAGCAUAUCAAUAA